UACGUAGGUGACAAGCGUUGUCCGGAUUUACUGGGCGUAAAGAGCGCGCAGGCGGUCGUUCAAGUCGAGUGUGAAAGCCCCCGGCUCAACUGGGGAGGGUCACUCGAUACUGAUCGACUCGAAGGCAGGAGAGGGUAGUGGAAUUCCCGGUGUAGUGGUGGAAAUGCGUAGAUAUCGGGGAGGAACACCAGUGGCGAAGGCGACUACCUGGCCUGUUCUUGACGCUGAGGCGCGAAAGCUAGGGGAGCAAACGGGG
rnacentral:rRNA from 1 species